GUUAUAUGGUCAAGUGAAGAAGCGCAUACGGUGGAUGCCUUGGCAGUCAGAGGCGAUGAAAGACGUGGUAGCCUGCGAAAAGCUUCGGGGAGUCGGCAAACAGACUUUGAUCCGGAGAUGUCUGAAUGGGGGAACCCAACCAUCAUAAGAUGGUUACCU
rnacentral:rRNA from 1 species